rnacentral:rRNA from 1 species
ACACUCCUGCGGGAGGCAGCAGUAGGGAAUCUUCCACAAUGGGUGCAAACCUGAUGGAGCAAUGCCGCGUGAGUGAAGAAGGUCUUCGGAUCGUAAAGCUCUGUUGUUAGAGAAGAACACGUGCUAGGUAACUACUAGCGCCUUGACGGUAUCUAACCAGAAAGUCACGGCUAACUACGUGCCAGCAGCCGCGGUAAUACGUAGGUGACAAGCGUUGUCCGGAUUUAUUGGGCGUAAAGGGAGCGCAGGCGGUCUGUUUAGUCUAAUGUGAAAGCCCACGGCUUAACCGUGGAACGGCAUUGGAAACUGACAGGCUUGAAUGUGGAAGAGGAAAAUGGAAUGCCAAGUGUAGCGGUGGAAUGCGUAGAUAUUUGGAGGAACACCAGUGGCGAAGGCGAUUUUCUGGUCUAACAUUGACGCUGAGGCUCGAAAGCGUGGGGAGCGAACAGGAUUAGAUACCCCGGUAGUCCCAUGAU